GACAAUCACUUCCCUGGUCCUGCUGGCCACACUAUUCCUGAGAUAGGCCAGGAGGCUACCGGCCUUCUUGCCCACCUGGGCACACACUGGGGUGAGGGGAAGGGUGCCCACCUCCACAGUUCCUGUGCCCAAGGCUGCCAUCAGACUUCCACCAAGGUUUUUGGGGUCCCUCAUGCAUGAGGGUGGGGAGAUGGGCUGCCUCCACCCUCCUCCUGGCGCGGCAUGGAUACGGAACAACCCUGGCAUGUAUGGCAAAAGGCCCAGUUUGGUGUUUGCUGAGGCAUUUUGGGUCUGCCAUCAUCCACAGGGAUGGUGAAAUCCUCGAGGAAAUAACUGUUCAUUCACAAAGCAGUGUAAAGGUGAUGAGCUCAGAAAGUCAGUGACAAGUUGUGGCAUCACCAUCCCUCAAAGUGUGUAGAAAAUGAGUGAACGUGGCAUUUUGCAAUAUGGUUUAGUGGGAAUGGUGGCAUUAGGUCAAAGCAUGGACUUGACAGUCUGGGAGGUCUUUUCCAAAUGUAAAUGGUCCUGUCUUGUUGCUGCUGAAUGAGAAGCUGGUGAUGUGGGUGGCAUGGUCCUUGCAGGGUACCACAGAUGAGAGGACUUGUGGCUAUGUGCACAUUGCUCAUUUCAUUGUUUGUUUGUUGGAUUUUUUCCUACACAGAGAGAAGGAGACAAAGAGAGCUUUAUUUCACCUCUGAAUCAAAUACUUCAGAGAAAAAGACCAUCCCUCCCAUUUUGCAGCACCACAGGAAAAGCAGAGGCAUGGAGAGAUACAGCCCAAAUACUCCAUGGAAGUAAAUACUAGUUGUAUGUGGACACCUUUAUUGCAGUUGUUAAAGAGCAGAGCUAUUUCCUUCUCAAAAUCCAAUAUGUCAAUAUUAAUUUAAAAGUGUCAGUGCAGAAGAACUCAGCUGAGGUUACAUUUUGUUUGGGUUCUUCUUGUUCUCAUUUGGGAUGAUUCAAUUGGAGAUGCUGCAGUUAUGGAUGGGCUACCAAUGUCAUGUCAUGUGCACAAUACAUCUUCACCUGCUCAUGCUUGAUGUUGUUUCCACUGAAAUAAACACAAAAGAAGUUCCUGCAGUCUGGACUUUUGCUUCAGAGAGCCUGAAGAUUUGGUGAGUUUUUUUACCCUAGAUGAAAAUUUUCCUGUUAGUGCUAUGCCAAAUACCUGUUGAUAUUCUAUGCAGGAUUUUAGUGUGUUUGUAAUAAUCAGAUUGACAUGUAUGUUUUCAGUGACUACUUGGAUGAAAUAAAGAAUGAAGUUUUAGUGAUUCAGCAUGGUCUCUGCUUUUGAGGAGGGCUAAGAAGAUACUUAACAUCAUUUUCAGACCUUUCCAAUGCUGGGCUUUACUACAGAAAGGAUGCCGCACAUACACUCUGAAGAGCAUGCAGUGGAAUUGAAGUAAUUUUCUGUCAUGAAUUUUCUGGUUCUGUGCUCUCAGCUGUGUACAUCACCUCCCUCCUUGCUGAUUCGCUAGCAGCUCCAUGUAAUCAGCUCAUGCAGUAUUUCAUAAAUCCCAUUUUCAGGCUUUUCCUGGCCUGUGCAUUCUGUUCCAUAUCUGCACAUCUGCUCUUUCUGUGGGGACAUUAAUUUGUCUUCUGCUGGGUUACAAACUUCCCAGUUGUUCAUCUAUUGUCUGAGUGCUUACCUGUCACAUCUGCAAGAGUCUCCUGACACCAGAACUCAUUGCUACCGUGGAGGACACAACACUGGGCAAAUAUUGCCUGCCCAGCAGCUAUUCCUUGUUUGUGCUUCAGUUACACUCUCUUACCAUCCUCCUCUACCUUAUGUAAUGCUUGUAAAGGAGACCACUAGGAGGUCAGAAGUACAUGUUGUCAGUAAAAUGAGACAUUUCUUUUCAAAUCACAUCAUGUUUUCCUCAAGUAUUUCUGUUCCACUGGAAGCAUUAAAAACCAGGCUUUCCUCUGUAAGUAAAUAUAUGGAUGUUUUACCAUACAGUAUCUGCGAGUGCUAGCAUAUCAUAAAUUAUUGAAAGCAGAUAAAAUACACUCAGAUGUGAUCAGUUUAGCCAAUUUCACUGCAGGCUGGCAGGAGCACAAGGAUACUUUUCUUGUGGUAGUGGAAGCCAAAUCAAGGAGAUUAAAGAUAAACUACUCGCUUUAUGCUGUAUUGCAACUGUAAUGAAUGCAAGGGUCUGAAUGUGGUAUAAAUAAACAUAAAACUGGAUUUUGCCCUAAAAUACUGUGAAAAAAAAAGUUGAGUGGCCUAUCUUAUAUAAAUUGGUUCCCUCAA